CUCACUAUUUGUGAAAAACAUCAUAUAUGAACAAACAUUUCACUAAUCACAUUAUAGUCUGUAACAACAUGUUCUAAUUUACCUCAAUUGGUGUGAAGGUUCAAAACUCAAUCAAUGAUGGAGGUGGUCCUCCUCAAAUUCAUUCUUAGUGGUCAAAAUUAUCAUCGAAUUGGGAGUUUAUAGCCAAAAGAUAGUUCCAACCCGAAUUUUGCUCAACUAAAUAUUGAUGAUCCUGAAAAUAAAUUAGAAAAUAUAAUGGGUCAUUUGAGGAAAUGUUCUUGGCUUGGUUUGAGGGUGAUAAAACUUUUAUAGUGGGAAGAGAUCUCAGUUAUGCUGAAUUUCCAUCCAUGUUUGUUUAUUUCUUACAAUAAAAGAGGUGGCAGCCAAGGAAACAAGGAUUAUCUAUUGGGAGACUUACCUAUAUACUUGGAACAGGUGAAUUAUACUAUAGGAGGAUAUUGCUAACAAGUGGUUGUACAGGCUAUAAAAUUAUAAAUACUAUUGAUGGUUAUACCCACACUAAUUUUUAAGAUGUGUGUUACGCUUUGGGAUUAUUGGAAGAUAAUAAAAAAAAUACAUUGAUGCAAUUAUCAAAGCAAGUGAGUUGUCUUCUGUAAAUCAAUUAAGGAAAUUAUUUGUUACUUUGUUUUAAUAAAUACAAUUUCAAAACCAGAUAUGUGUGCAACAUGUAAGACUCCAAUUUUGACUUCUAAGAUCCUUCAUGUCAUCUCAUUAUUUGCAUUGGCUUUGAGAUCACACAUUCACAUCCUCCUCACCCCUCAUUCAUUGGGUUUGCAUUGGGAGAGAUCACCAAAAAUUUGUGAUUGUAUCAUACUUUGUUUUUCUUUGUUUACUAACCAAAAUACCAAAAAUAUGUCUAGUGUAGUGUUAUUUCUUUUGGAGGUAGUGUGUGCAUCCACUUAUGCCUCAUCAAGCUCACAUCUAAGGCUUGAGACCCUCGGUGCAAGAGAUCAAUCAAAGAAAGGUUCACAUUGGUUUCAAGCAUCAUAUAUGGAUCCCCAUGUUCUUUAUUUGUCAUUUUGAUCAAGAAUUCAUCAAGAGAUUGAAGUUUGUUUGUCAUGGAAACCCUAAUUCAUCUAGGUAUCUUGUGUGCCUUCCUCAACAAGUUUCUUCAACAUUUGAUCAAAUAUUAUCAAGGAAUGCACCAUUGUACUUCAUCUUAUACAUAUAUGAUCCUCCAUGAGCUUCUAAGAGCAAAGGAACUUCAGGUUUGCAAGUUGGUUCAAGGAGUUUGACUAGAAAAGUCAACUAGUCAAAUCUAGGGUUCCCUAGACUCUAUCUCCUACAAUUUUUGUCAUAUGAAAAUGAUUCCAAAAGAAAAGUUACUAUUUAUGACAUUACAAACAAAUUUCAUGUUUGCAUAAAGAGCUAAUUUUGCUUGGAAAGUCAUUUUUAUGGUGAGAGAUUAUAGGUCAUUUUGUUUGUGCUCUAGAUAGAAGGUCAACUUCCAAGAACCAUAACUUCCUCAAUUAUUAUGAUAUGAAUAAGAUCCAAGUUUCAUGAACAAUUUCAAGAUGUCUUAUUCAACUUUUCUUCUUUGAUAAAGGUCAAAUUCCACUUACAAUGGCAUGUACUAAGAGAAAACAUUACAGGUCAUUUUGGGUCAUCACCGUUGAACAAGCAAUUUUCCUCAACUUCUAAAAUCCAUAACUCCGUCAUGCAAGUUGCAAAUGGUGUCAAAUUUGUGACCAAAUUUAAAAUCAUUGAAAGAGAUACAACUUUGAAGAAGGAACCAAAGUCAUUUGAAGCUCAUAGGGAAAGUUAUUCACGGUGGAAAAAAUGGUCAUUUGACUUUUAACUUAGAAAAUUUUCAAAUAUGUUUGGUUCCUCCAACUUCCACACCAAAAUUCAUCAUGAUCCAAGCUCCAAAUGGAAAAAAUUCCAACAUAAAAGUUGUUCCCCUUCAUGUUAUCUUUCCAAAGAGUCUAAGAUCAUUGCAUUUGGAUCGAAAUUGAGGGAUUUGCACAUAGUUAUUUUGAAUGACCCUAUUUGAAAACUAUUGAACUCAAUUUUCAACCAACAUUGCAUGGCUUCAUGAAGUGAUCUCAGCAUCAUUUGUAAACGAAUUUAGACUUAUUGCAAUCAUUAUUUGGGCCUAAAUGCAUGCCCAUAAAUGCAAGUUGCUAAAUUUGGCCAAUUUUUUAAAUGGUGUGAAAAUGAAUUCACAGGCCUAUA